GGACAGCAGCAGUAAAAGACCCGUGACUUCUGGGCCCUCCUGGCGCACAGUGCCCAAGUCCAAAAGCAGCAGUGCCAUCCUGCAAGACCUCAAAUCACCCACCUGGAGCAGCAGUCCACUGAGUUUGGGAGAGGGGCGCAGUGAACUGGAUGAAUUGCAGGAGGAAGUUGCUCGCAGGGCCAGGCAGCAUGAGCUCCAGAGGAAGAAGGAGAAGGAGAGAGAAGCAGAACAGGGCUUCAACCCUAGACCCAGCAAGUUCAUGGACCUGGACGAACUUCAGCACCAGGUGAACAGCCUGGCCCGGUCCAAGUAUUGUUGACAGACAAUCAGGAAGAGGUCUUUGAGACCAAUCAGGAUUCUGUGCUUGGCUCAGCCUCUCCUCAACACAUGAAAUCACCCUCUUCUUGUACAGACAAAUACAACCCCCGGCCUGCCUUUUCUCAGCCACAGCCCCAAGAGCAUGAUGAACGCAGCAAUUGGUCGACCCAGAGUGAGAACGAAUGGGGUGGCAUCAGAUUAUCAGAUGUUCUCCAAGCAUCAGGCAUUCGGAUCAUGCCCAUACGCAAGCACCUUGCCAUAUCUCUACCCUCUUUGCCCCUUGACUUCUGGGAUGUAUUGGGAGAGGACGAAGAAGUCUCCAGCUGUCAGCACCCUCAAUCUCCAAAUCCUCCUUUGUGGCAGGGCACUGCAAAUAGUCUGGACCGGAUACUCCAAUCCAGCAAUACCAGUUCACCACCCGACCCUGUUGAGGAGAAGGGGCCAGUGCCCCAGCGAGCCCCCAUAUGGCAGACCCUGUGUGCAUCUUCUCAGCCCUGCACCAAAUUGACCCCUCCUGUUGCUGCCCGUCAUUGGUCCUCUUGGAGCCUAGACCGUCCAGAUGCUGUUGUCAACCCCUACAACACACCUUCUGAACAGAACCAGCGGACAGGACCUGCCAUUUCUCAACAAACACCUGGAAGACACCUUGUUCCUCACAGUCCCAUGAGCACCAGAAAGAAGAACAUCCCUAAGUACGCAAAAUCCAAAGCACGGAGUUGGAACCCACAGAGGCCGAGGACCAGGAACUCUCUGAAUUGGACUCACUUUACCAGGCCAGUCUGCAGGCUGGCCCGGGUCCUGGCCGUGCCCUGCGUGGUACCAGCUCGCCUGCUCUUGCGAGACCAGUACCUCCAGCUGCACGAAAGCUGCUCACUGGAGUUGGACGCUCUAGGACCCCCACAGCUGAGCUUGAGAGAACUGCUUAUGGACCACCAGGUUGUUGCAGCCCUACUGGAUACAUGAACAUGCCUCUGUCAGUGGCCCAUCAAGAGCCUCAGUUAGGAGAGGAAGACCAGUAUGAUGCGGAUCACCUGCGCCGUAUUGCUCGCAGCCUAAGUGGAACAGUCAUCGGGCGUCGCCAAAACCGCCUUUCCAUCUCCCGAAGCUUCGUAAGUAUUCCACAUAUGAAUAAGACUAAAAGGAAUUCUGGAAAUCUUAUUUAAUCUGAGGGGCUAAAUAAUGGCUAAAAUAUGAGUGAAAUAUUGCAACUAGUGACUGCUGGCAUGCAAGAGUCUGCUAGAGGGGCCAAAGGAUGGGGGAGGAAUCAGAUAUCUGUCCUAGAAACCUGAUAAGAGCUCUGUCUCCUAUACAGGAGAGUGCUAACACACAGCUACUGCCACUUUAGCCUGAUCUGUGUGUGCUGCCUGUCUCUUGUCAAUCACUGCUGAACUUUAGGUCCUUUGAUGUACACUUUGCGCUUACAUCUACAGUUAUUUUUAAAGCAGAUGCUGUCUUUCAAAGCUAUUUGGUGUAUAUAGUGUGCUUUGGCAUUCAAUCAUUUCUAAUAUAUAAUUUAUGCCAGAAAUAUAUGAAUGCAUAACUAUUGUCACAUGACAUUCACGUGCACCAUUGCACAAGGACACUCAAAUACACAUGCACAACUUCUCAUUCUCUUACUGAGUCAUACUGCCAUCCUGUGUCCAUAUACUGAAACGUCACUACAUUUGAAAAAAGGCCUGGUGUCUCAUUUAUAAAGACGUGCAUAUAGUCAUCUUACCAAAUGCAUUCGUAUACACUUUAAAAAUGUUUGCAAGUCCUUCUUGCUUUGUUAAAGUCUUUUGUACAUAAGUGAGUGCAUAUGUAAUAGGUAAUGCAUCAAAUUCAGUUACUAGAUUCUAGGUUCUGGCCAUACUGUAUAUAUACACAUAUUUAAUACAUUAUCCUGUCAGUGAUCCAUUUUAUCGAAUUUUCAUUAAUCUCAUUUACAUGCACAUUAUUUUUCAGACCAUGUUCUCAUUAAUCCUUUACUCUGAAAAGUGGUUUACCCACUCCAGCUAUUUGAGAGUUUAAAAAUAAAUAGGACAUUCUUUUCCACUAUUUACCAGUCCCCACUAUAUAUAUAUAUAUAUAUAGUGAUGCUAUCACGUAAAUAAAAAUAGUUAGCAUCACUUGAAAUGAUUCGAAAAUCCUGUCAGCGUCCACUGGCAUACCAGUCCAUGAUUAAUUAUAAAAUAGUUUAUAUGGCUGCGUUUUAAUUGUCCAUUCGUGUAAGAACAUUUGCACAUCAGUUUUUUAAAGGGUAUAGUUACUCCCAAAAAUGAAAAUUAUGAUCAUGUACUCACACUCACUUCAGUCCUAACCAGUAAGACUUUCUUUCUUCUCUUGACUACAUAAGUACCGGUAGAUAUUUUCAAGAAUGUUUCAACUGCUUUGGUCUAUACAAUGAAAAUCAUUAGGGGUCCAAAAACAUAGUUAAGAAAAAAAAAGUCUAAGAAUUUUUUCAAAAUAUCUUGUUUUGUUUGACAGAAGAAAGAAAUAAAGAAAGGCAUUCAGGUUUGAAACGAUAAGAGAGCAAGUAAAUUAUGACAGAGUUCUAAUUUUUGGGUGAACCAUCACUUUAAUAAAUCUGAAUUUGUUCCUCAUUUUUUUUAUUUGGGAUCAGAUCUGAUCUUAUGUGCAUUUUAUAAAUAAGGCCCCUGAUUCUUUUCAUGCCUUACUUUUGUGCUCCCCAUCUCUUCCCUUCUCCCCAUCCUACCUCUCUCUUCUCUUCUUUUUCUCACUUUCCUCUGCCCUCUGCAUAUCAAUGUAUGUGUUGUGUGUGUACCUAGCUGGGGGACUCGUGGGGUUACGCCAUAUCACAGCUCCAUGUACUCACCUAGUUGCCUUCAGUUUCCAUUGUCUCAUUCAGACCUCCAUCUGCUACCAACCCAGCUAUCUUCAUCUCCUUCCAUCAGCUUCACCCCUGUCUCAGCAGCCUGGGCCUUGCAGAGAGGUCCCAGGUAAAGCUCACUUUCGUUUUCCACCUCCAUAACCACCUAUUCCAUUCAGAGGGCCAUUUCCCACUUGUUCCGCAUUCAUGUUUUUGCCAUUGCCUUGCAAUUGAGUCCAGGUGCCAGUGCCUCCCCGCUAAACAGUCUGCAUUCGCUUCAUUUUUGUUUCCUGCUGUUGAAUAAGCUCUGUUGCUUUUUUUCUUUGAUUGGUCUGGAUCCUGUCCUUCACACUCCAUCCUACCCCACUGCAGGACGUCUCCAGAGGUUCUCCGAGUUUCUGGCUCUGUCUGACCGGCGUCAAGCUCUCUCCAGUGGGAAGCACUACGGUCCAGCACUGAGGUGUAUUGGAAGACAUCCUCUCUGAAAUUCUCCCCCCAACCAAUUGGCUUUGGACACAACCAGGUCCUCUAGCCCUGGAACGUUUCCAAAGACGCAUUUGCUCCCCUGGACAACCCUUCUGCACACCCCAUCCCAUUCUCUUCACAGUUUUCUGGAGAACUAGGAGGAGCAUGUCCCGAGACCUGAUGCCAUCCUCAAUCACCCUGCGAUCUGUAUUGUUCCUGGGAUGAAACCCUUCUGUUACCCUGCUCUAGUCGGGAAAUCUUUCCAUCCAAAAGCCCCUGAAGCUCGAUCCACAGCAUGACGGAAAGAGACACCAAAACCAACUUUUUUUAUUUAAAAGCACUUGGAAGGUGUGAUUCUUUGGGGCUAAGGUGUGUGUGUAUAACUGACCUUUGGUCAGAAAGGCAGCAUGCAGUGAUAGGAGUGUGGGGUCCACACUCUGACUUCCGCAGUCAGCCAUCCAGUCCAGAGCACUUAACUUAAUUAACUCCAGCAUUGAAUUAACUGCAGAGGAGAAGCCUACGGUAUCUCCUUGCUCUAGAUGGUAAAUGUGUGUAUGCGUGUGUGCAUGUGUUGGGUGGUAAAAGGGGAGGAGCUUUUUGGAUCCCUUCCCUCAUUUAUACUACUGGUCAAAAGUUGGGAAUGAUUAAGAUUUUUUUUUAUAUGUUUUGAAAUAUGUGUCUUAUGUCUCUUGAAAUAUGUGAUCAAAAAUACAGUAAAAACAGUAAUAUUGUGAAAUAUUACUUUAAAUUAAAGCAGCUGUUCCAUUUCAGUAUAUUUCAAAAUAAAUAUUAAGCAGCGUGAAAAUUUUUAGCAUUGAUAUCAAAAAUAAUAAAUGUUUCUUGAGCACCAAAUCAGCAUAUUAGAAUGAUUUCUGAAGGAUCGUGUGACACUGAAGACUGGAGUAAUGGCUGCUGAAAAUUCAGCUUUGUCAUCACAGGAAUAAAUUAUACUUUAAAAAAUUUUUUACAUUUAAGACAAAUUGUAAUAAUUUUUCAUAGUGUUUUCAUAGUACUUUAAUCAGAUAAACGUAGCAUUAGUGAGCUUAAGAGACUUCAAAACCAUUAGAAAAUCAUAAUUAUUCCAAACUUUUGACUGAAAGUGUAUUAAAAAAAACACCUUUACCCUUCCUCCUUGCCUGUCCCACAGAUUUAAGUUCUCAGCAAACCAACUUCCCAGAAUUGUCGUCGCUUUGCUGAACAUUUUUCCCAGCUCUCCUGCAAACGUUUUUUGGUAGCAGGAUGGGUUAAUGUCAUGUAGAUGCUAAGUGCUUCAACAUGUACUAAGUGAAUUGAGAUGUUUUGUACGGUGUCAUCUCUCAGCUCUGGUGUUUUUUGUCAGAGGAGGCAUGUAAAUCUGCGGCCCUGGUGUGGAGCGUGGAAUGAGACCGUUUCUUCUAACCUUUUUCCUCCUACUUCUCUGAUACGGGCAUUCCCUGUAGCACACAGCUGUUUUGUGUCGUGUUACAGGCAAAGACUGUGUACAUGUUUGACUGAACAUACACUAGCAAAUGAAUUUAUUGUUAAUAAAAAACAUAAAAACUAUGACAUCUUAAGAAAUAUACAGAGGAAUGGAGAAACUACGUAAUGACAUUAUGAAAUGUUAAUCAAUUCUAGUGGUAAUAAUUAUUAUCUGCAUUAAGACAAGUAUAGUACACUUCAGAAGUGUAAAGCUGGAGAAAAACUGCUAUUUUAAUUCCAUUGACAGUUCUCCCGUUUAUAGAGGGAGAUAUGCCAAGUUAAGCUUCCUUUUUAUUGUUUAUUUUACUUGAUUCGAUACUUUUUUUUUUUAACUUGCAGUGACACUGAAACCACAGCUAUGAGUCUGGCAUGUGAUGGAUCUUCAGGCCUGUAAUAGUUGAGGGGUCUCAUCCCAUUCGAUUGUUGUAGAAUCUAUAUUAUUUCUAGAUUUUACUUUAAUCAGCACAGCUGAAGAAUGUUUGGCUCUGAUAGCAUAGAUGGAGCUUAUGCAAAGCUUCAUUAGCCUGGAAUUUGGACAGUAUUACGUAUAUGGGGCCUUGAACAAGGAAUGCUUUCAUACUGUUAUUCAAAUAAACGUAAUACGAUUUGUGAUUAACGGAAAUCCGAUAUUGAUCAACAGUUGUUUCGUAUCACAAUAUCAUAUGAUCAAUGCAGUAUUAAACUUUUCAUUCUAAUCAUAUUGUGCUGUGAUAUGUAUUAUUUUUUUAUUAAAAGCCUUUGAGUGCUGAAAUUAAAAUGAUCAUAAAAGAUAUAACUUAAAGAGAUCUAGAUCUUAUUUAACUUUGUCUUAACCAAAGAUUGGCUCUAACACAAAGAUAUGUUUUUUGUUUUUUGGUCAUUUAUUCAUCUUUCCUUUCAUUUAAAGGAUUUUUGAGAAUGUAGCAACGGUUAUGUAUGAGUAUGCUAUGCAAAAAUGCUCUCUCCUGAACUACCAGCAAAAGAGUCAGACUGGGACAAAAAUCAGAUAUUUUUCUUUUUUUUUCCUAUUAUACUGAGGAUGAAAAUGAUCUCCUGCUGAAUUGUUGAAUCUUUACUUAUUAAUGUCUGUACAGUUA
rnacentral:lncRNA from 1 species